AAUGAACGCUGGCGGCGUGCCUAACACAUGCAAGUCGUGCGCGAACGGGGCUUCGGCCCUUAGUAGAGCGGCGAACGGGUGAGUAACACGUGGGUAACCUGCCUGGGAGUGGGGGAUAACCUGGGGAAACUCGGGCUAAUACCGCAUACGUUCCCGGGGCUUCGGCUCCGGGAGGAAAGAUGGCCUCUGCUUGCAAGCUAUCUCUCCCAGAGGGGCCCGCGGCUGAUUAGCUAGUUGGUGGGGUAACGGCCCACCAAGGCGACGAUCAGUAGCCGGCCUGAGAGGGCGAUCGGCCACACUGGAACUGAGACACGGUCCAGACUCCUACGGGAGGCAGCAGUGGGGAAUAUUGACAAUGGGGGCAACCCUGAUCCAGCAACGCCGCGUGGGGGAUGAAGGUCUUCGAUUGUAAACCCCUGUUGGAGGACGAAGGUUUUGCGGCGAACAGUCCGUAAGCUUGACGGUACCUCAAGAGGAAGCCCCCGGCUAACUCUGUGCCAGCAGCCGCGGUAAUACAGAGGGGGCGAGCGUUAUUCGGAAUUAUUGGGCGUAAAGGGCGCGUAGGCGGCCGAGCAAGUCUUGGGUGAAAUCCCU
rnacentral:rRNA from 1 species